GGCACAGUGGCCAAGCAGAAAGGCGUCGGUCUUGUAAACUGAAGAUCAUGGGUUCAACCCCCAUCAGUGUCU